ACAGAGUGCUAUGAAGACAUCACGGGGGACCUUGAUGUAGUACUGGUGGUGAGAGGGUCAGCAUCUGAAGGAGUUGAAUAAGGACUGAUAGGGUGGGGAAAGAGGGUCCAGGAGGCAGAAACAGGACGUGUGAAGGCCCUGAGCUGGGAGGGGGCAGGGCGCUUGUGAGGCCAGUGUGGCGGGAACCCAGCUGGCAGAAGGGAGGGGUGCAUUAUGCAGCUGAGGCUCUAGCGGACAAUAGUGAGGAGCCAGUGUAGGCUUUAUAGGGAAGGACAGCGAGGACAGCUGUCCAUUCUGGAUGGAACACUGGAGGGGCAGAGUGGACGAGGGAUGGUCAUGUUGGCAACCUGUGCCAGGGAGACAGCAUGAGGUUGAGAGAAGGGGAGAAAUUUGAGGGCUGCUUGGGAGCUGCGGUGUUCUGAACAGCAGUCCAGCUGUGAGGGGAGGUGCCUGUGGCAGGCCUCGGCUGACCCUGGAGAGGCUGUUAAGACCUGGCUGUCGCCUCGAUAGCUGCUUAGAGGCAGAGAAGUCUGGCUUUAUAAGAAGAAGAAAAGAGAUCACUCUCUUUCCACCAUGUGAGGACCCAGCAAGAAGGUGGCUGUCUGCAAGCCAGGAAGAGAGCCCUCACUAGGAAUCUACUGGCACCUUAAUCUUGGACUUCCCAGCCUCCACAACUGUGAGAAAUAAAGGUAUGUUGCUUAAGCCACCCAGUUUGUGGUAUUUUGUUAUGGCAGUCCUAGCUGACUAAAAAAUACUGUCUCCUAGCACCUAUGAGUUUUGUUUCAAAGCACUUACCACAAUCUAUAGUUAUCCAUCUACCUGUGC
rnacentral:lncRNA from 1 species